AGGGUUGUAGCUCAGUGGUUGAGCACCUGUCUUGCAUGCAGAAAGCCCCGGGUUUAAUCCCCAGUAUCUCCA